rnacentral:rRNA from 1 species
WCGCUUGGGAUUCAAAGCMUGCGAGUCGCGAGUCUUAGGGACUCGGCGUACCGCUCAGUAACACGUGGGUAACCUGCCCUAUGCUGGGGGAUAACCUCGGGAAACUGAGAAUAAUACCCCAUAGUUCACCACGCCUGGAACGGUGGGUGGACCAAAGCUCCGGCGGCAUAGGAUGGGCCUGCGGCGUAUCAGGUUGUAGGGGGUGUAAUGUACCCUCUAGCCCUCUACGCGUACGGGUGUUGAGAGACAUCGCCCGGAGAUGGAUUCUGAGACACGAAUCAAGACCCUACGGGGUGCAGCAGGCGCGAAAACUUGGCAAUGCGAGAAAUCGUGACCAGGGAACUCCAAGUGCAUCGGGUAAGACCGAUGCUUUUCUUGACUCUUCAAAGGUCUUGGAAUAAGGGGUGGGUAAGGACGGUGCCAGCCGCCGCGGUAAUACCGGCGCCCCAAGUGGUAGUCGCUUUUAUUGGGCCUAAAACGUCCGUAGCCGGUCUGGUACAUUCGUGGGUAAAUCAACCAGCUCAACUGGUUGAAUUCUGCGAGCACGGCCAGACUUGGGACCGGGAGAGGUGUGGGGUAC